AUGAUUAAAUAGUUGUCUGUUUUCCUUUAAAGUUCAAAAGUCCUUAUUAAUUUACAAAGCAUAUGAACACAGUAGUUACUAAUUUACGUUGAGUCUCAAAGUUCGCUGCAACGUAAUUCUAGAGGCAUAGACUAAUUUGCCUUUUUGUUUGGUAUGUACAGUAUAAUUACUUAAAAACUCUUUAAAUUAAUAAUUAUUAAUUUAUCGAUAAAUUAAUAACUCUCUAAAUUAAUAAAUUUCUCCAGUCCUGACAUUAUUAAUUUAAAGAAUUUCUACUGUAUAUACUAAAUAUCAUUUUAGUUCCUCAUCAUUAAGGCAACAAUGUAACUUGUAAGUAAUAUGCUUUUGUACCUGCCAAAGAAAUUGAAAGGUAAAAAAAAAUAAAAAAUAAGAUAAGAUACGAAGAAUGCAAAUAAUGAUAAGAAAUUAAGAACAAUAACAUAACGAUAUUCAUAUAGAAUUAAUUUUGUACUUAACUGUUAAAUGCAAGUACAAUAAUACCAAAUGCAUGUUCUAUUUCUAGGAUAGAGACACAUAUGUGGACAAUCUUCAUCAUCAUAGCAUUCCGGAAUUGCUGUGAUUCAAAAGAAAAAUAAUGUCACGUAAAGUGAUCAAAUAUUGUGUUUAAGGCCAUGAUUAUGAUUAAAAUUUCAGAAUCAUGCGAAAAAAUGCUUACUUAAACUUUCAAUUACAACAAGAAAUAGGAAAAUAAAUAUGAUCAUAAUAAGAUAAAUAAACUUAAUAAUUUCAGUCAUAUUUUAUUUCCUCUGCAUGUU
rnacentral:lncRNA from 1 species